rnacentral:rRNA from 1 species
GACGUAGGGGGCAAGCGUUGUCCGGAAUCAUUGGGCGUAAAGCGCGUGUAGGCGGCUUGGUAAGUCCGUUCUGAAAGCCCGGGGCUCAACCCCGGGAGGCGGAUGGAUACUGCUGAGCUCGAGUCCGGAAGAGGCGAGUGGAAUUCCUGGUGUAGCGGUGAAAUGCGCAGAUAUCAGGAGGAACACCAAUGGCGAAGGCAGCUCGCUGGGACGGUACUGACGCUGAGACGCGAAAGCGUGGGGAGCAAACAGG